CUGCGCAGUAAACUAUUUGUACAACUGCUGGGGCCACUCAGCGUGGUGUGGAGGCGGGGAGGGAGGAGGAGUAAAGGCUGUUUACAAACUUGACGUACACACGCAGCCCUAGCAGUAAGGUUCUGGAAUUGGGGUUACAAUCUUGGGAUCUGAGGGCGCUCUGAGGCUUUGGGUUCCAGCACCUGACUUAAUGGCCACCCAGACCAUAACCUUUAGAAGAACAGAAAGAUUCCAAGCGUCUUGGGGCAGCGGUGACUCACUGCAGCACCCCCUCCCGCCUCAACAAACUGCCGUCUCCGCCCACCCCCAAACAAUUUCAGCAACGCACCGCGGCUUUGGGCGCUUUGCUGGAGGCUAGAGGGGUUCACCUCCAUCCCUGUAUCCAGCAGGCUAAACCUCCUCCUAGCAGUCUUCAAGCCUGCCUUGCUUCCCACCCGACCCCUCGGUUGAGCUGGCGGAGAUGGAUACGACAUCCAGAUGCGAAACUCUGGACCCACUAACUGCUGCGCGCGGAGGUGGACAGCCAAAAGCCCCGGGAAGAGGCCAUUUCUAACUGGCAGCAAGUUACAACGGAGGAGAGAUUGCAAAGAUAGGAAAUCGCUUUGUGUUUCUAAUUCAGUGAACUUGGAGCAUCUGAUCUGACUGUUGAAUUCAGCAAGGAACAACUAACCCACCUAUCCAAAGUGAAGAUAACUGAAGGGGAAAAAAACAGGAUGAAGAUGAUAUAAAAACUGUAUUCAAAAGAGAGUGAUAUAAUGCAGAGGAAAUAAAUUAGACCUUUAUCUCACGCCAUAUAUAAAAAUCAAAUCAAAAUGGACUGAAAACUUAAAUAUAAGACUUGAAAUCAUUAAACUAUUAGAAGAAAACACAGGGAAAAAAACUCCUUGACACUAGUCUCAGCAAUGAUUAUUUUGGGGGCCCCAAACAGCAUAGGCAACAAAAGAAAUAACAGACAAAUGGGCUGCAUCAAACUAAAAAGCUUCUGAACGGCAAAGGAAACAAUUAACAGAAUGAGGAGACAACCUAUGGAAUGGGAGAACAUAUCUGAAAACCAUAUACAUUAUAAGGGGUUAAUAUCCAAAAUAUAUAAGGAAAUCGAACAACUCAAUAGCAAGAAAACACAUAACCCAAAUGGAGAAAUGGAGAAAAGACCUGAAAAGACAUUUCUCACAAGAAGGCAUACAAAUGGCCAGCAGAUACAUGAAAGGCAAUGAACAACACUAAUCAUCAGAGAAAUGCAAAUCAAAACCACAAUGAGGUAUCACAUCACACCUAUUAGAAUGGCUAUUAUCAAAAAGACAAAAGAUAACCAGUGUGGUGAGGAUGUGGAGAAAAGGGAAUCAUUGUACACUGUUGGUGGGAAUGUAAAUUAGUGCAGCCACUAUGGAAAACAGUAUGGAGAUACUUCAAAAAAAUUAUAAAUAGAACUACCAUAUGAUCUGGCAACCCUACUUCUGGGUAUAGACAUGAAAGAAAUGAAAUCAGUAUCUCUAAGAGACAUCUGCAUUCCCAUGUUCACUGCAGCAUUAUUCACAACAACCAAGAUACGGAAACAACUCAAGUGCCUUUUGAUGAAUGAAUGGAUAAAGAAGAUGUGGUAUAUAUAAUACUUUGGAAUAUUAUUCAGGCACAAGAAAGAAGGAAAUCCUACCAUUUGUGAUAACAUGGAUGGACCUGAAGGAUAAUACGCUAAGUGAAAUAAGCCAGACACAGAAAGACAAAUACUGUAUGAUGUCAUUUAUAUGUGGAAUCUGGAAAAAAAAAAUGUUCAAACUCAUAGAAGCAGAGAGUAGAACUGGUUACUUGGGGCUGGGAGGGGUAGGGGAAGUGGGGAGAUAUUGGUCAGAAGGUAUAAAUUUGCAAUUAUGUUGGAUGAAUAAGUCUAGACAUCUAAUGUAGAAGAAUGAUGACUAUACUUAGUAAUAAUACUGAAUCGAACAAUGGAAAUAAGCUGCGAGGACAGAUUCAUGUGCACUCAUCACACACACAAAAAUGGUAGCUGUAUGAGGAGACACGUUAACUAGCUGAACAGUAAUAAUCAUUUCACAAUGUAUAUGCAUACUACAUUAUACUGUACACUGUAAACAUGUACAAUUUUUAUUAAAAAUUUUUAAAGGGACUGAUAUGGGAUAUAAAGAACAUUUAAGUGAAAUUCAUAUAUUUAUGUGUAUCUAUGUAUCUAUAUAAAUAUACAUAUAAAUUUUCUUAAAGACCUAGAGACAUAUCUGCAGUCUGCUACCUACCAGCUUCUAGCUGAAUACAUGUAACUACUGUCACCCUGAGUAAGUUAUAUAAUCUCUCUGGAUUUCGGUUUCCAGAACUCUAAUAAUGCCAACCUCAUAGAGCUUGCAAUUAAUCACUGUGUGUACUAGGCCUGUUAUACACCACGUGCCUAUCAAUGAAUAGCUUUAGAAACUGUAUUAGGCACUUUAAUAUUAUGGAUGGCAAAUAGGUUUAAUUUCUAGUGUCAGCUCUGAGUAAUUCAGUAUGGCCACCUGGACUGCUAUGUCCAGAAUGACUGUGAGACUGUGACUAGGCUUGGCAGAAAAGAGUAGUGUGAUCAAUUAUUGAUGUCUGCUCCUGGCCCCAAAUAAGGGAGUGUAUUUUCAAUCCUGAGUCUAGUGAAAAGGUCACAACAUGUCAGGAGACCUGGUCUUUCUGUCUCCAAUUAGCUGGAUAACCUAGGAACAUCUUUUAUUCCCUCUGGGUCUCAUUUUCCCCAAUGUAAAAUGAAUAAGCAGAAUUUUAUGGGCCCUUAGGUCUCAGAGUCUGACUAUUCUGAUUUUAAUCUAGAAAAUAUUGUUUCUGGUUCACAGGUGUGGAAUGCUAAUACAUUAAAAAAAAAAGCAUCUUGCAUUAAGUACACUUACAUAUGAGAAAUUGUUCUAUGGCCCUGUUUAGAAGAACAUGCACCAUUACCUAAGUGAAAUGGUGUGGAGGUCUGUAAAUGAAGUGAUAUUCGAGGUGUCCUCUUACCUGCAGUGUGCUCCUAUUUCUUCCAAAAUCUCUCUGGGCCUCAGUUUCAUCACCUGGAAAAAUGGAAGAAAAAUUAUGACUGUACCCUCCUGAUUCUCUGAAAUGUGAAGCAAAGGAAGGAGGACAUGUUUCCUCAGUGCUUUGAACUUGUCAGAAGGCAGACCUUCUGUGACUCUAAAGUACGAGCAUUCACAGAAAAAUGUGGCCCAGAAAUUGCCCCCUUGAUAUGAUGCACAUUAAUAUCCAUUUGAUGUACUACAGCUUUAUUACAACAGAGUAAUGCUUCCAGAAGGAAAAAGAGAUUGGUUUUUAAAAAACCCAGACUUUUAUCAUUUUCCCUUUAAGUUGAGCUUCCCUUUUCCUUAGUGUAAAUCCUAGAGUCUCCAAGGUUAAAAACAUGAUCAAAGCUGAAAGAAGCUUGGUGUCGAAGUAGUCCUCUUGCCAAAAAUGGCCUCCAUAGGAGUAUACAGACAUCUGCUACUUAAUAUACUUAAAACCAACUUGCUGUGGAAAAGAUGCAAAAAUGAGUCCACAUGAAGUUGAAAUACCUCGGCUCCAUAACGCCUUAAGACAACUGAUUCUAUGCCAAAUUCUGUUCCUGUGGACAAAGCCAGAAUUUGAAAGAUGUCCCAUUAUCCCCCAGAGCCAACAUUCAUAAGAAUAACUAAAUCAACAAUGGGAAAAAAAAAAGCCCCAACUCUCACCUCAGACAUGCUUCUAGGACAGAGAAGAUGAGCCAAACUAGGUAAAGAGAAUGAAUGUGCUUCCUGAUCACGAUGAAUCAACAACUUUAGCAUGGAAAUUGAAGAAGAUAGAAUUUCUACCAUUUACUCCACCCAACUAUAUUUUGUUCUUUGACUCUUAAUGGCAGAUCCUGGGUAGUGAUGAUGAGAGCAACAGUAACGACUAUUGCAACGAGCUUUGAGAAGGGAACUCCUUCUGUCUGUUUCAACUGAGGUCUCAAUAUGACAGAUUCAAAAGAACAAGAGUCCACUUUGUCCAGGAGGAGGACGGAGUUCCCAUUCACUUAUCUGAUAUUUGAUAGUCAUCAAGCGUACGGGCUUUAGAAUUCGAGGAAGUGAGGGCUGCUGUGUUGUGCGUGUCCAGGAAGCACCACCGACAUCAUCAUCUAUGUGGACAGUGCUCUUGGGGCUGGGCAGUACAUAAUCCACACAACCAUAUUUGGUGGGACUGAUUCAACAACAUAUACUGGGUGAGUAUGUGCCAUGCACUGUGUUUGGCACUGAGAAUAGAGCAGUGAACGAGAUAGACUAGGGUAAGUUUAUUUAUGGAUGUAAAAACCAGGCAAAAAUGGGAGAUGAAGGAAGGGCCAUACUUUACAGAAUUUUGAAGGAUGUGUUGCGAAUUUUAGUCUUCAUUCUAGGAAAAGUUGUAAGAUAUUAAAUUUCCUGUUCAGGAGAAUAACUUGUAGCAAGGUCAUAUUUCUGCAUUACGGAGAAGACAGUUGACGUGGAGAAGUACAUAUGUGGUUGACAAUAUGGGGACUCUUUUGGUAGCACAAGUGAGAGAUGAUGGUGGCUUGUCUAGGGUAAUGCCAAAAAGGAUGGAAGAAGUAGAUCGAUGAAAGUUUUCAAAUGAAAUGUCUUAUCUCCAUUCUGCUAUUUUUUGGCCAGUACCACUGAAUUAUUUUGACCUUUGAGUGCUCUCAGACAAUAUUAAAAGUCAACUGUUGUGUGUGACUCUGUGAAAAGCAGAAUUAUUUGAUGUUAACAUCAAAGACCACUGCCAUCAAGUGUUGGGCUUGCCUGUUAAUACAUCAUAUAGCCAAUAAAACAGUCAUUGCCCUUUUAUUUAUCAGCCUGUUCGACAACAUAAAAUUUAAUCUCUCUUUUCUCUUCCAUAACAUGUAGCACCUACUUGUUUGGGAUUGUGGUGUAGAUGCAAAGAGAUAAUACCUAAAGCACUUAGCACAAUGUCUGCUCUAUUGUAAUUGUUGUUGGCUACUUUUUACUUCUGCUAUAUUCAUACUUAUGUUGGAGGUUUGGGAUGAGAAUUACUCACUCUUUUUUUCUCUAAAUUGGUCACCAAAAUUUGAGAAAAUAGGUGCAGGAGUAAAACAAGAGAGAUGAAAAUAUUAGCUUUAUUACCUAUAUUGUCGAAUUCAAGAAUGCAGUUGACUUUUUGGCUAAAUCUAGCGAUUGGUACCAAGGAAAUCUGCAAUCUGCCCAUUGACAUUGCUCAUGUGCCUCCAUCAGGGACACAGAGGGUUUGAGCAAGGCCUGGACCCUGCCCUGACUCAGGGAUGCUUACAUUGUGGAAGAAGUAAGCAGAACACUCUCAUUCCUCUGGUGAACCAGAGAGCAGAGAAACCAAGAGCACAGAUUCUGGAGUUAGAUUGCCUGAGUAAACCUGGCUGUACUAUUCAUCAGCCAGCCAGCAGUGUGAGUCUCUCAGAGUUUCUGUGACUCAGUUUCCUCAUCUAGAAGAGGGAAUGAUAAAGUACUACCUCAUAGGACUAUUGGGAGGAUUCAAUAAAUGAAAUGUUGGUGUCUGGAGCAUAGAAACCCUAAUCUCUAUUUGUCAUGCCCAGAAUCUAAAUAAAGAAUACAGAAAACAUCACACCCUGUGUUUCUCCAACCCCAUCUACCAGAGAGGUCACUGUUUUUCCCAAGGGGAAGAGCAAAGGAGGAGAAAAUAUUUCUGGAAGAGAAGGGAAUGCAUAUUUCCUAUGCACUGGCUUCCUGGAGCGUGAGUAUAAAGCCCUUCCUCUAUGCUGAGCAUCAGGACACUAAAGGUUGACCUCCCAGAUAUCCUAUCACUUGAUAUAGUUGGCCUGGAAUCUGUCCUGUCCCUGCAACUUCCUCUCUCCACCUGAAAAGAAGUGGGAUUUGUCACACUCAUCAGUCUAUCCUUCCCAUAACAUAGGGUGAUGUACUGUGCUUUGUAUGUACUGUGCUAAUGACAACUUGUGCUUGAUGGAUUUGAACGUAAGCAUCUUUCUCUGAGCUAUCUUGUUCCUAAGCAACAAAAUCGUGAAGGGUGGCUGCCUGGUGGCAAAACCCAGGGCCUGAGCAGAAAGUGUGAGGUUCCCACUAGUCUGCUCUCUUUCUUCAGAACCGUCUAGCCUUCUGGCUCCUGAUUUUCAGGACCACACAGAAACUGUCGGAUGCCUAAAGCUAACAAAAAUGUUCUUAUCACAAGGCAAAUGCUUUUCACAUCCACCUUCCUUACCCCCAUUUUUUCUCCUAAUCUAGAAUGGUUGGACUUCUCCAUCCAAAGCAGAAACAAAGAACUGAGAAAAAGUUUGUUAUCAGAUGAACACCUUGCCUAUUUGUUCCCUUCAUUUGUACAUACGCUCAGUUAAGUUUAGCUAAAUGUCCAACACAGAGGAAGGACGAAGUCAAAUAUGGGAUAGUUUCCUUUAUUGCACUAGUUACUCUCUGAAAUUAUUUGUUUGCUCUUGAUUAUUUGCCUCCCCCAAUUACAGUGUCUGUUCAGUGGGACCCUGUCUACUUUGUCUCUUGGACCUCAUAGUCUUACAGCGGAGUUUGUUAAACUGUGGCCAGCUGGCCAAAUCUGACCUACCACCUCUUUUGUAAAUAAAGUUUUAUUGGAACACCUUCA